ACAUUCUCUUAGUUUUUAAAAAAUAUGUUAGUAAACUCAGAUGAUGAUAGAUAUGAAUAUUUCUGUCCUAGAUUUGAUGCAAGGCAUUCCAGUGACAGAAGAUCUUUAUUCCAUAUUUACCAAGGAGAAAGAGCAUGAAGCUUUGCAUAAGGAAAGCCAGAGAAGCCACCAAGAACUGAUUAGUCAGCUUUUACAAAGCUACAUGAAAUUACUGCUGCCUGAUGAUGAAAAGUUCCAUGGGGGCUGGGCCCUUAUUGAUUGUGAUCCCAGAAAGCAUCCAGUUUGAAGUGAGUCUUGAAAAUAUCAGUGGACAACAGGAUCUAAAUUUAUCUACCAGAUUCAAUGCUUACUUUUAGGGCUGAAAUCUGAUAAUUUUUAAUAUUAUAAAGAAACAUUUCAGGAAAUUGUAACCUCUGAGAAUAAAGCAUUAUAUUUAAUU